rnacentral:rRNA from 1 species
UACGAAGGGGGCUAGCGUUGUUCGGAAUUACUGGGCGUAAAGCGCGCGUAGGCGGCUUUGUAAGUUAGAGGUGAAAGCCCGGGGCUCAACCCCGGAACUGCCUUUAAGACUGCAUCGCUUGAAUCCGGGAGAGGUGAGUGGAAUUCCGAGUGUAGAGGUGAAAUUCGUAGAUAUUCGGAAGAACACCAGUGGCGAAGGCGGCUCACUGGACCGGCAUUGACGCUGAUGUGCGAAAGCGUGGGGAGCGAACAGG